rnacentral:rRNA from 1 species
UACGUAGGGUGCAAGCGUUAAUCGGAAUUACUGGGCGUAAAGCGUGCGCAGGCGGCUUUGCAAGACAGAUGUGAAAUCCCCGGGCUCAACCUGGGAACUGCAUUUGUGACUGCAAGGCUAGAGUACGGUAGAGGGGGAUGGAAUUCCGCGUGUAGCAGUGAAAUGCGUAGAUAUGCGGAGGAACACCGAUGGCGAAGGCAAUCCCCUGGACCUGUACUGACGCUCAUGCACGAAAGCGUGGGGAGCGAACCGG